rnacentral:lncRNA from 1 species
CACAUGAAGACGAACGUGUUAUCUACCGUUACCCCUUGUCAUCGUUCCUCCCAAACACUGUACAUUCUAAUGACGUUCAAUCAAAAUGUGUUGAGGCAUAAUUAACCCCGGCCUCCCGUCGCUCUAAUUGACGCUUAUUAGAGGGCCCACGUGAUUCUAUGAUAAAUUAGAGAGAGAGAAAGAGAGAGAGAGAGAGACCUGUGAUUGGUAAGCAACGUUUGGAAGCGAUGCAUACCGGGGUAACCAACACUUAAUUAUCAAUGAGGUUUUUUGCAACACUUUGAGAACCCCGGGGCACUGUUUCCCCUCAGUAAUAGUAAUGGGCUCUUUUAAUGGAACUUGUGUUAAACACAGUGCUGCUGCUCGCUAGAUGCUGGCGUUUCGUCCCCACCAGUUGAGGCUGCCAUGCUAAUUUGGGUGAUUAGAAGGAGCGGAGGCUCAUUUUGCUCAUUUCGCCGCAACGACUUUUGAAUGUGGUUUGCGGCUGUGGUGAAUGUGGUUGGAGGCUGUGGUGAAUGUGGUUUGCGGCUGUGGUGAAUGUAGUUGGAGACAGUGGUGAUUGUGGUUGGAGGCUGUGGUGAAUGUGGUUUGGGGCUGCGGUGAAUGUGGUUGGAGGCUGUGGUAAAUGUUAAUGCAGGCUGUGGUGAAUGUGGUUGGAGGCUGUGGUGAAUAUGGUUGGAGGCUGUGGUGAAUGUGGUUGGAGGCUGUGGUGAAUAUGGUUGGAGGCUGUGGUGAAUGUGGUUGGAGGCUGUGGUGAAUAUGGUUGGAGCCUGUGGGGAAUGUGGUUGGAGGCUGUGGUGACUGUGGUUGGAGGCUGUGGUGAAUAUGGUUGGAGGCUGUGGUGAAUAUGGUUGGAGGCUGUGGUGAAUGUGGUUGAGGCUGUGGUGAAUGUGGUUGGAGGCUGUGGUGAAUGUGGUUGGAGGCUGUGGUGAAUGUGGUUGGAGGCUGUGGUGAAUGUGGUUGGAGGCUGUGGUGUGGUAUGAGAUAUGUGGCCACCGUGUGACGAGAGGAGUGACAGUAUGUGAAUGAGGACAACCACGGAUAGUGUCAAAGUUCUGUCACUGUGUCAUCGGUCAAACUCAAGGCUGCAGGAGUAGUCGGACUGUCGUCAGAUACUGUCUGCGUGGUUUUGAAUGUAUAGUAUGCUGUGGAGACCAGCAUUUGACCUUCUGUGACCAGUUCCAAAUAUGCAUUUUCACCUCUAUCUAGUUUCACGUACCAUGAACAGUUUGAACCCUUUCUAACUGACUGACUGAAUGAUUGACACUAGUCCACCAGUUCCACUCACAACAUGAGUACUUGGUUUAGCUAGCUAGCAUCAGACCAUACUCACUCAGCUCCUUUCUCCACUCAAUACCUUCCACCAACCAGUAGAAAACAGGUUUUGGUGACAGAUUGUGCACACCAACAGCCCACCUCACUCUUUGAGGUGCGUGGCGAUGCAGGCUUGGCAAUGACAUUUUUUAUUUUUUUAUUUAAACCUUUAUUUGACUAGGCAAGUCAGUUAAGAACAAAUUCUUAUUUACAAUGACGGCCUACCAGGGAACAGUGGGUUAACUGCCUUGUUCAGGGGCAGAACAACAGAUUUUUACCUUGUCAGGUCAGGUCACCGCUCUAACCACUAGGCUACCACCAGCCUCUCACUCGGGGCAUAAUGCUGGAGGUGUGGGCUGUGACUGGAGCAUGUGUGGGCACGGGCUGAGUAUGAGGCUGCAUUGGCUGGAAAUGGGGCUGAAGCUGGGUAUGGGGCUGGAGCCGAAGCAGGGGGCCCCAAGAGCCAGGCGAGUCCCAACUGACCCACUUUGCUGAGGAUCCUGUCAUGAGGCUCCUGGGUCUGUUAGGGAAUCAGGGAAACCCUCUUCCGUCAACGCUAGCUGCCGUGAUCUGGGUUAGCACGUGCCAAUCAACCCGGAUGGGAUGACAAGUUUGUGAUGACACGGCUAGAGAGCUCCCUCUCCUCUCACUGCCUGGCUAUGUCAAAGACAGGAUGAUGUCUUGAUGGCCAUGGCAUUUCAAUGUCAACUGGCAGACUUGGUUGGAUAGUGCAUGAUUGACUGAGACAACAGCACGUGUUUGUGACAACAAUUGUUUAUGAAGUUUGGGAAGUUUAUUGGGUAGGGGUGAAUCAGACAAACAAAAGGGUCCGCACUCAAAAAGAUGUCGCUUAAGCUUACUUCCUUUUUCAGGACAGAGAAUACAGCACACUAUUAGCACACAACAACAUUUCUUAAUAACGAAACACAAUACACACAUCCAAUUUGAUGAUUCAUUGUGAUUACCCUUUCUGUUUACAUGGUAAAUGCUAUUUUUUUGGUACCUUGAUUACCCUACAGUCAUAUUCAAUGUUUCACUCCAAAUAGUAUUGACAUGGUGUUCCUCCAUCUAAAGAAUGGGAAAAUCAAAGUUUUUGUUUUUUGCAAAAAUAAAUCUCCGCCAUUUUGGAAAUGGCCUCUCCCUUUAGCAAUGGUUGUCAGGGAACUCUGACUGUCACAGUCAGUCAGACUAGCAGGAGCAAGGAAGAAAUACAUCUGACAAUUCACUGGCAUGAAAGCGAUCCCCUCAAGCUAACAAAUUCAGAGAGAAAAUUACAGUUUUGCACGUUUGUGUCAAUAUGCAUGUCAAAAGGUAAUUGGGAAAUUGUUCUGCAAUGUCAAGUCCUGUUGGAAGUGUUUAGCCUGUGGUUAGAUCUAACCGUUUCUUCUCACAUUCGAGAGGUCGAAGCAAUCUCCCCUCCCCUAUAGGUUUCCUCUAAUAAGUUAAUAAUGUAGCAAUUCAUCAUAAAAAGUUAUUACACAUGAUCUACCCCUUUCCCAUGUACUGAAAAUGACAUUUCAGGCAAUAUUUAUAUCAAGUCAUAAACAAUUGCAAUUUGUUAUAAGUACAUUUCUUAUUAUCGUAAGGGAUUUUUAGGAGUAGGUUAUCAAACUAUACUAUCCAAGUGACUCACUCUGGCCUCCUUUAAACUUUUAGUCAGACAUAAGGUAUUCUGUCCUAGGGCUAAACUCACUUCUCCUGUGUAUCCAUUUUUUUAUAUUUAAAUGUUUUGUCAUUUAGCAGAAGCUCUUAUCCAGAGCGACUUACAGUAGUGAGUGCAUGCAUUUUCGUACUGGUCCCACAUAGGAAUCAAAUCCACAACACUGGCGUUGCCAUGCUCUACCAACUGAGCCACACAGGACCACAUCCUUUGCCUAUAGGGAACUAGACAGCCAUAGCAUCUUUAUCUGUACAGACAGGAUUAAUAAUGAUGACCAUGAGAAUGAUGAUCAGCAUGAUGAUGAUGAGGAUAGUGAUGAUGAUGAUGAAUAUGGUGUUAAUGUGAAGGUGUUAAUGUGAACAGGUUCUAUUUAGACAGCAUAGUUCAGUCUUCACAACAUACACAUGGGAGGGCUAGACACACACACACACACACACUGCAACACCUGGGGCUUAGAGUCCACCGCUUCAGACAGCCCAGGUAGAGAGAUAUUUGGAGUGUCAGUGCAUUGCAAUUCACAGCUUUAGUGUCCAUUCAGAUUAAAGUGGGAAUACAUCUUUGGCUCAAUCACAGGCACACAAACAUUUAUAAAAAUGUUCCAAACAGCAGGAAAUAAAAUACAUUGGAAAAGUGUAAAAUGACAAUUGGGGAAAACAUCAGUGCAAUGCAUCAAAAUACUCUUCUUAUUGGCAUUUAGAGUGGAAAUGAAUUUGUAAAAGUGAUAUAGGCCUACCUUACUGGAUAAAGUUUAAACCAUCAACCUUAAAGGCAGAUGCUCAAAUGAGCUGUAGACAGAAUGGCUCCGUUCCUACCAUCAAGUCUUUGUGUGUCUUGUAACUUGCUUAACA